rnacentral:rRNA from 1 species
ACUCCUACGGGAGGCAGCAGUGGGGAAUAUUGCACAAUGGGCGCAAGCCUGAUGCAGCCAUGCCGCGUGUGUGAAGAAGGCCUUCGGGUUGUAAAGCACUUUCAGUCGUGAGGAAGGUAGUGUAGUUAAUAGCUGCAUUAUUUGGAUCGUUAGACGACAGAAGAAGACACCGGCUAACUCCGUGCCAGCAGCCGCGGUAAUACGGAGGGUGCGAGCGUUAAUCGGAAUUACUGGGCGUAAAGCGCAUGCAGGUGGUUUGUUAAGUCAGAUGUGAAAGCCCGGGGCUCAACCUCGGAAUUGCAUUUGAAACUGGCAGACUAGAGUACUGUAGAGGGGGGUAGAAUUUCAGGUGUAGCGGUGAAAUGCGUAGAGAUCUGAAGGAAUACCGGUGGCGAAGGCGGCCCCCUGGACAGAUACUGACACUCAGAUGCGAAAGGCGUGGGAGCAAACAGGAUUAGAUACCCUGGUAG